GCGGGUAUGGUAUAGCGGCAUUACCUCAGGUUUCCAACCUGAUGACAGGGGUUCGACUCCCCUUACCCGCUCCA
rnacentral:tRNA from 1 species